CCGACCCCCGGUACUGGGCUCUCCCAGUCCUCCACACAUUCACCUUCUUGGGGGUUGUGGUGAUGCCCAACUCAGACAAUGUGGCCCAGGAACCUAACCGACGGCUGGAGGAAGCUGCACUUAUCUGGUGUACAGAUCUGUUACAUUUUAUUUUAUAGAUUUCAGAAAGCUUUGUUUAAGGUUUAAGUUCAGCCUUACACAUAAAAGAAUGAUCACAGUCUUUUCCACACAGUGAUGCAAAAGUCUGCAGUUUAAACACUGGUAUCAGAUCAGUACUCAGUAUCAGCCGAUACCCAACGGCCAGGUAUCAGUAUCGGGACAGAAAAAGUGGGAUCAGUGGAUUCCCAUUUGUAACCUCAGUAAAAGCCGCCCUUCAGGUUACACCUGUCUCCGUAUCCUCCUCACUCAGCUGGAGCAGUGGCACCAAACUAAUCACAGGUUGGAUAUAAUUCUUGUCCUUCACCUGCACAGAGGUGGUCCUUAUCUGUCCGUCAUCAUCGGGGUACACCCACAUCACCUUCCCCAUGGGCCACCUGAUCAGGACUACCUGAUCCACUUGUAGCUACUUACCAUCUUCUUGCCAUUUCUUUCUCUCCUAAAGAUUUGGCAGAUAAUAGUGAGUGAAACAGGUCCAGAACUGAUCCGCCAGGACCUGGCUAUGUUUUAAACAAUGCUGUCUAAGAAGAUCGGUGGAAUCAUAAUCGCUUGGGGAAGAGAUGAGGUUUGGAAUUAUUGGCUCUGGGUCUGACAAAUCUGAUGUGAGCUUUGGAAGCCCAGGAAGUUGAUAGGGUAAGGAGAUGUCUACUUAUCCAAGUACUGGUGAAAGCAUCAUAUUUCAGGCCCCAAAGAGGCCUAGCUAGAGUAAAAAGUUCCAGGCCCAGAGGGGGCCUCACUAGAGUCUGGGGUUCCAGGCCCAAAAGAAGACUUGUAUCCCUCACCUCCAGAGAGUGACACAACUGAUUCCAGUGCUAAGGCCUGGAGCCAGCAAAGGGCCAGCAACCCCCCUCUGAGUUGUCUGAGCUCCUUCCCGGCCCAGAAGGGGCCAUCUCGCCAGAGUUCCCCGUUCCCGGCCCAGAAGGGGCCAUCUCGCCAGAGUUCCCCGUUCCCGGCCCAGAAGGGGCCAUCUCGCCAGAGUUCCCCGUUCCAGGCACAGAAGAUGUCUCCGCUGAGCCUCAAAUUCAUGGCUUUGAAGAAGCUAUGAACUCCGUACCAAGCUCAGAAGCACCUCCCCAGCCACUUCGCCAACACAUGGCCUGCUCAUUCCUCUGUAUUUUUGCACCUUUCUUAACUAACUGCAAUUGUUUUCCCCUUCUUCCCUGGGUCGUGGCUUAGCUGAAUAGGUGAAGCAGGCUCCUGAGAAGUGUAUUUCCCUUCUGUCAUUAAUGGACAUUUUUUGUUUUGUUUUGUGUGCCCCUUGAUUAUCAGUAUAUUACAUUGUUAAAAUUGUGUGUUUUUGUAUUGGUUGUUUUUGUGCCUUGUAGUUAUGACCUGUUCCACUUAUGUACUUUAUACCUCGUAGGGUUUGAUUCCUGAGUCCUUACUGCCCGUUAACAACCCUCACCUGUUCCCUGUACUUCCUCAUCGCUUGUAUGUAAUAAUAUGGAAAAUAACAUACAUCUUGUUGAAAUCUCAUUAUAUGUGUGUAAGUGCCUGGUCAUGCCCUGUUCCUUUGUCAGUCAUUGUUAAUGCUGUGUGCUUGUUCCCGUGUGAUACCUGUAUGUACAGUAUGUUUCAAGCCAUUGUAUUUCCCCUCUGUUUCCUUCUGCUUUAUUUCUAGCCUUGGUUUAGUUUGUUACGCCCCCCCACACCUUCUAUGUUUAGACCCCUUGUGGUUCCUUUUUUGUCUGGUUUACUUUUGAGUUCUACUUAUAAUAAAUAUCGCUUUGUUGUCAGUAAGUCA